GAUGAACGCUAGCGGCAGGCUUAAUACAUGCAAGUCGAGGGACAGCACAGGUAGCAAUACUGGGUGGUAACCGGCAAACGGGUGCGGAACACGUACACAACCUUCCUUUAAGUGGGGGACAGCCCAGAGAAAUUUGGAUUAAUACCCCGUAAUAUAGUUGAAUGGCAUCAUUUGAUUAUUAUAGCUACGGCGCUUAAUGAUGGGUGUGCGGCUGAUUAGAUAGUUGGCGGGGUAACGGCCCACCAAGUCUACGAUCAGUAGCUGAUGUGAGCGCAUGAUCAGCCACACGGGCACUGAGACACGGGCCCGACUCCUACGGGAGGCAGCAGUAAGGAAUAUUGGUCGAUGGACGCAAGUCUGAACCAGCCAUGCCGCGUGAAGGAUUAAGGUCCUCUGGAUUGUAAACUUCUUUUAUUUGGGACGAAAAAGGGCCUUUCUAGGUCAACUGACGGUACCAGAUGAAUAAGCACCGGCUAACUCCGUGCCAGCCGCCGCCGUAA
rnacentral:rRNA from 1 species